rnacentral:tRNA from 1 species
UCCCUGGUGGUCCAGGGCUUUGGACUCUGCACUUCCACUGCAGGGGGCACGGGUUCAAUCCCUGGUCGGAGAA